rnacentral:lncRNA from 1 species
UGGCUGUGGUUCAUUAUAUCCAAAAUCACGAUACAUCUGAAGGAGAAACGUGCAAGAAUAGCCCUAAGUUAGUCAAUUCAAAUUCUGGUUUUCAUGAAUCUCCUCACCGACAAACCACCCAUAUAAAAUUUAGACAAACCUCUUUACCCUUAAAAAAAAUGGUUGAGGUUGCAAGCAUUUCAAAUCAUUUAGCCUGAAUUCGAAAAUCAGAGAAUUCCUAAGGUUUUUCUUGCUUCCACGACUUCAAAAAUCAGCAAACUCUCAAAGAUUACCUCGAUAUCGACCGUCGGGAACUCAACAUUGGAGUCCUCAUCCCGCAAGUCGGCUGCGCGAACUCAACACCAGAGUCCUCUUCUCGGUAGAAAUUUUGGUUUGUAAGGUUCACUUACUUAAUUAGGUAAGGUUAAUUACAUUUGUGGCACCAAAUCUAAUUCCGUAUGGGUUAAUUUCAUUUGCAUCACCAAGACUGGUUUAUUUAGUUUUAAAAUCUUGUUUAGAUUGAUAGACUCCCAUUCUAUAGAAAAGUAUUUGAAAACAUCAUUCUACCAAUUAAUUUUAAAAUAGAUUUAAAAAGUUUGUUUGCCACAGAAGUCAUUUGAAGAGAAUUAAAAAUGAUUAUUGUGUUUGUUAUCUACAAUAGUCAUUGACUUGUUUAGGUUCAUAAUUUGCAAUGUUGAGGGUUUUUUAGGUUUUUCUUGUGUUAAAUUGGUGCUUAAAACUGAUAUUGAAUUAAUUGGUUGUGGUUGAUUUCCAUUGUAGAAUGGGAAAAAGGAUUCCAUAAUGUGUCAUUAUUGUAGAGUUAAUAGAGACACAUCUUGAUAAAUGCCGAAGUAAGCAUCGGUGCCAUACUGUAAGAGUGGAUUCCAAAAGUGUUUUGAGGUGAAAAGGGGGAUCGAUAAUAAAGGAAAUCUAUUCAAAUGCUGUAGUUAAAAAUGCAAUUUUUGGGAAUGGGUUCGAGAAGGUGAAUCAAGCGAAUCAAGUGUCGUCAAUAGCUCGGUGAAUCCUUCAUCGAAGGAAGCAAUGUCAGAUUUGUCCCUUAUGUUUCAAUAUCAAAUUGAGCUACAUGACAAAGAAGAUGUCUAGAUUUCGAUGAACAUGAACUUAACGAUCCACAAUGGCAAAAAAACCGUGGAAAAGAAUGCAAAAUGAAAGUGGCUGGCUUGAUUAGUAGCCCUCAAUAUUUAAUAAAUGUUUACGUUAUGUAUGUUUGUAUUUGUGUGACUAUUUCUAGAGAACUUUGUGCCUACUUCCAGAAAAUGGACCCAAAAGAUGCUUUCUGAUGACUGGUUCUAGUUGUAACUUGUGUGCCUCUUAUUAUUGCCUGAAUAAAAAAUGUGUAACAAAGCCAACCCAAUCUAAAGUGUUUAACAAAGUGCUUAACAUAAUCAUUCCAAACAUUACAUUCAAAAUUAGAGAUGUCUGAAUACUAAAGUGUUUAACAAAACCAAUUCAAUCCAAAGUGGUUAGCAAAACCAAUCUAAAAAUCUCAUUGAAAACUAAAGAUCCAUCAAUGCAAUAAAUUGAAAUCCGUGAAUAUGAUAAUGUUGUUGGCAUUAAAUAUUGUUGAUGUUGAGAUGCCUGAAGAUCAUGUGUACCAAUUGUUAUAGCACUCUGAUUGGAUGUAGGUCUUUUUCCUUUGCGCGAUGUCAUUGUUGUUGGAAAAAUGAGUAAAUGACUCACUCUUGGCAAAAUUUUCGGUGGGACCUGUUGGUCCAAUUUGGAAGAUCAAAGUGAUCCGUGUUCUCCUCCAUGAGAGCAUCAAAACCAUAUAUUUACUUGCCAAAAUUGAUGAAUGGAUGAAUGAGAAAUUGGAGCUCAAAGUUGACCAUUAGAAGAUGGUUUAUGUAGGAAAAAAUUGAGUUUGUCCCACAUAGGAAAAAUAGGAAAACAUGAACCACUUUAAAUAUGGUUGCACAUUGGAAGGGUGUAAUCAUGUGUAGCAUAAAGGCUCUCUCCGCGUGCGCAUGUAAGAGGGUGUAAAUCAAAGACCGAAAUUACCUUCAGACCUUGAAUUUGUGUGCGGGCGCAACCUGCGUACAUGAAUGUCGGACCGAACCGAGCAAAAAUUGGCCCAUUUGGAGUGUCCACGUUUUGUAAUUUUUUGCUUUCUCCAACUGACUUUUGAGUUUUCGAAAAUUGUCAAAACUCCCAGAAAUUGAAACAACUCCAGUGUUUAUUGCUAUAGAGUUAAUAGGCAGAUUUAAUCUUAUAUUAAGUCUCAUUUCCAGUAAUUCUAAAUGUGAGAAUACACACCAAGAAAUUUGUCCAUACACACGAAAAUAGUCUGCAUUCAUAAUCUGUUGCAUUUUCAGCGUCAUCUUGGUAGUGAUAUUGUUCGAAUGCAAACUCAGUUCGCCAGAGUAGUAUCUGUAUUGCUCAGAUUCUAUGGGCUUUACCGUUGUAUCCUGGGAAACAUACUCUUGGAUUAGACCUCAAGCACUUACGGUGAGGUGACGAAUCUGUUUUAAAAACACUGUAUUCGGAUAGGCCUCAGGUUGAAAAUUCAUCUGCUAUUUAUUUAUUUUGCAGUUACACUUCGUAAUUUAUUCUUGCUGAUUUAUUUACUUAGCGUUUAUUCGUG